UACGUAGGGGGCAAGCGUUGUCCGGAAUCAUUGGGCGUAAAGCGCGUGUAGGCGGUCCGGUAAGUCCGCUGUGAAAGUCGGGGGCUCAACCCUCGGAUGCCGGUGGAUACUGUCGGGCUUGAGUACGGAAGAGGCGAGUGGAAUUCCUGGUGUAGCGGUGAAAUGCGCAGAUAUCAGGAGGAACACCAAUUGCGAAGGCAGCUCGCUGGGACGCUACUGACGCUGAGACGCGAAAGCGUGGGGAGCAAACAGG
rnacentral:rRNA from 1 species